GAUGAACGCUGGCGGCGUGCCUAAUACAUGCAAGUCGAGCGAACGGACGAGAAGCUUGCUUCUCUGAUGUUAGCGGCGGACGGGUGAGUAACACGUGGAUAACCUACCUAUAAGACUGGGAUAACUUCGGGAAACCGUAGCUAAUACCGGAUAAUAUUUUGAACCGCAUGGUUCAAAAGUGAAAGACGGUCUUGCUGUCACUUAUAGAUGGAUCCGCGCUGCAUUAGCUAGUUGGUAAGGUAACGGCUUACCAAGGCAACGAUGCAUAGCCGACCUGAGAGGGUGAUCGGCCACACUGGAACUGAGACACGGUCCAGACUGCUACGGGAGGCAGCAGUAGGGAAUCUUCCGCAAUGGGCGAAAGCCUGACGGAGCAACGCCGCGUGAGUGAUGAAGGUCUUCGGAUCGUAAAACUCUGUUAUUAGGGAAGAACAUAUGUGUAAGUAACUGUGCACAUCUUGACGGUACCUAAUCAGAAAGCCACGGCUAACUACGUG
rnacentral:rRNA from 1 species